GAGUUUGAUUCUGGCUCAGGAUGAACGCUGGCGGCGUGCUUAACACAUGCAAGUCGAACGGGCGAAUUAUAUCGGAGGUCUUCGGGCCGAAGAGAUAAUAAGCUAGUGGCGGACGGGUGCGUAACGUGUGGGUAAUCUGCCUUUGUCAUAGGAAUAACUGCUUGAAAAAGUAGCUAAUACCAAAUAACAUAUCGUAUAGGCAUCUAUAAGAUAUCAAAGAGAAAUCGGACAAAGAUGAGCCCGCAUCUGAUUAGCUAGUUGGUAGGGUAAAAGCCUACCAAGGCGACGAUCAGUAGCCGGCCUGAGAGGGUGAACGGCCACAUUGGAACUGAGACACGGUCCAAACUCCUAUCGGGAGGCAGCAGUGGGGAAUAUUGCAUCAACUGGGGGGAAGCCCUGAUGCAGCAACCG
rnacentral:rRNA from 1 species